CCUACGGGGUGCUGCAGUGGGGAAUCUUCCGCAAUGGGCGAAAGCCUGACGGAGCAACGCCGCGUGAUCGAAUGAAGGCCUUCGGGUUGUAAAGAUCUGUUGACAGGGACGAAUAAGCAAUGCGAAUAGUUUUGUGUAUGACGGUACCUGUUUAGAAAGCUCCGGCUAACUACGUGCCAGCAGCCGCGGUAAUACGUAGGGAGCAAGCGUUGUCCGGAAUUACUGGGUGUAAAGGGAGCGUAGACGGCGCUGCAAGUCCGGAGUGAAAGCCCAUGGCUUAACCAUGGUACUGCUCUGGAAACUGUAGAGCUUGAGUGCGGGAGGGGCAGGCGGAAUUCCUAGUGUAGCGGUGAAAUGCGUAGAUAUUAGGAGGAACACCGGCGGCGAAGGCGGCCUGCUGGACCGUAACUGACGUUGAGGCUCGAAAGCGUGGGGAGCAAACAGGAUUAGAUACCCUUGUAGUC
rnacentral:rRNA from 1 species